rnacentral:rRNA from 1 species
AAUGAACGCUGGCGGCAUGCCUUACACAUGCAAGUCGAACGGCAGCAUGACCUAGCUUGCUAGGUUGAUGGCGAGUGGCGAACGGGUGAGUAAUGCAUCGGAACGUGCCUUUUAGUGGGGGAUAACGUAGCGAAAGUUACGCUAAUACCGCAUAUUCUCUGAGGAGGAAAGCAGGGGACCUUCGGGCCUUGCGCUAGAAGAGCGGCCGAUGUCGGAUUAGCGAGUUGGUGAGGUAAAGGCUCACCAAGGCAACGAUCCGUAGCGGGUCUGAGAGGAUGAUCGGCCACACUGGAACUGAGACACGGUACAGACUACUACGGUAGGCAGCAGGCGGGAAUCGUGCGCAAUGGGCGAAGGCAUGACGGAGCAACGCCGCGGGAGUGAUGAAGGCCGUCGGAGCGUAAAACUCGGUUAUGAGGGAAGAACAAAUGGGUAAGUAAAUAUGCACGCCUUGAGGGUACCUAAUCAGAAAGCCACGGCUAACUACGUG